GUUUCCGUAGGUAUUGGUUUGCCUGCGGCUGUCAGUCUGCUUUGGCAGGCAACAUCUCUAUCUUGCUGGAAUUUACAAAUUGUACUACCAGCGGCUCUUAUGAGUUCACAGAUCAAAUAGAGGUGGCCCUCUGGGUUAAGAUAUGAUCGGAUGCAAGCUUGGUUGCUUGCAGUAAAUCGGAACCUGCGGAAGGAUCAUUACUGAGAACUUGCCCUUCGGGGUAGAUCUCCCACCCUCUGUUUACAUACUUUGUUGCUUUGGCAGGCCUGCCUUAGUGCUACUGGCCUUGGCUAGUUAGUGCCUGCCAGAGGAUCAACACUCUGAAUAAUUUAUUGUCUGAGUAAAAUUUUAAUAUUUUAAAACUUUCAACAACGGAUCUCUUGGUUCUGGCAUCGAUGAAGAACGCAGCGAAAUGCGAUAAGUAAUGUGAAUUGCAGAAUUCAGUGAAUCAUCGAAUCUUUGAACGCACAUUGCGCCCUCUGGUAUUCCGGGGGGCAUGCCUGUUCGAGCGUCAUUACAACCCUCAAGCUCUGCUUGGUAUUGGGCGUCACCUUUUAUUGUGCGCCUCAAAAUCAGUGGCGGUGCCACCUGGCUCCUAGCGUAGUAAAACUUUCUCGCUACAGAGCUGUGGUGUUUGCUUGCCAGCAACCCUUAUUUUUUAUAGGUUGACCUCGGAUCAGGUAGGGAUACCCGCUGAACUUAAGCAUAUCAAUAAGCGGAGGAAAAGAAACCAACAGGGGUUGCCUUAGUAACGGCGAGUGAAGCGGCAACAGCUCAAAUUUGAAAUCUGGCGUAUGCCCGAAUUGUAAUUUGUAGAGGAUGUUUCGAAUGCGGUCCAGUCUAAGUUCCUUGGAACAGGACGUCAUAGAGGGUGAGAAUCCCGUAUGUGACUGGGUGCCAAUUUCAUGUGAAACUCCUUCAACGAGUCGAGUUGUUUGGGAA
rnacentral:rRNA from 1 species